UACGGAGGGUGCGAGCGUUGUCCGGAAUCACUGGGCGUAAAGAGCUCGUAGGCGGCUUGUCGCGUCGACUGUGAAAACCCGUGGCUCAACCAUGUGGUCUGCAGUCGAUACGGGCAGGCUAGAAUUCGGUAGGGGAGACGUGGAAUUCCUGGUGUAGCGGUGAAAUGCGCAGAUAUCAGGAGGAACACCGGUGGCGAAGGCGGGUCUCUGGACAGUUCCUGACGCUGAGGCACGAAGGUCAGGGGAGCAAACGGG
rnacentral:rRNA from 1 species